rnacentral:rRNA from 1 species
UACAGAGGUCUCAAGCGUUGUUCGGAUUCAUUGGGCGUAAAGGGUGCGUAGGCGGCGCGGUAAGUCGGGUGUGAAAUCUCGGAGCUUAACUCCGAAACUGCAUUCGAUACUGCCGUGCUUGAGGACUGGAGAGGAGACUGGAAUUUACGGUGUAGCGGUGAAAUGCUUAGAUAUGACAUAGAACACCAAUAGCGAAGGCAGCUUGCUACACGGUAAUUGACACUCAGGCACGAAAGCGUGGGGAGCGAACAGG